AGAGUUUGAUCCUGGCUCAGGAUGAACGCUAGCGGCAGGCUUAACACAUGCAAGUCGAGGGGCAGCAUAAUGGAUAGCAAUAUCUAUGGUGGCGACCGGCGCACGGGUGCGUAACGCGUAUGCAACCUACCUUUAACAGGGGGAUAACACUGAGAAAUUGGUACUAAUACCCCAUAAUAUCAUAGAAGGCAUCUUUUAUGGUUGAAAAUUCCGAUGGUUAGAGAUGGGCAUGCGUUGUAUUAGCUAGUUGGUGGGGUAACGGCUCACCAAGGCGACGAUACAUAGGGGGACUGAGAGGUUAACCCCCCACACUGGUACUGAGACACGGACCAGACUCCUACGGGAGGCAGCAGUGAGGAAUAUUGGUCAAUGGACGCAAGUCUGAACCAGCCAUGCCGCGUGCAGGAUGACGGCUCUAUGAGUUGUAAACUGCUUUUGUACGAGGGUAAACGCAGAUACGUGUAUCUGUCUGAAAGUAUCGUACGAAUAAGGAUCGGCUAACUCCGUGCCAGCAGCCGCGGUAAUACGGAGGAUUCAAGCGUUAUCCGGAUUUAUUGGGUUUAAAGGGUGCGUAGGCGGUUUGAUAAGUUAGAGGUGAAAUUUCGGGGCUCAACCCUGAACGUGCCUCUAAUACUGUUGAGCUAGAGAGUAGUUGCGGUAGGCGGAAUGUAUGGUGUAGCGGUGAAAUGCUUAGAGAUCAUACAGAACACCGAUUGCGAAGGCAGCUUACCAAACUAUAUCUGACGUUGAGGCACGAAAGCGUGGGGAGCAAACAGGAUUAGAUACCCUGGUAGUCCACGCAGUAAACGAUGAUAACUCGUUG
rnacentral:rRNA from 1 species